rnacentral:rRNA from 1 species
ACGAACGCUGGCGGCGCGCCUCACACAUGCAAGUCGCACGAGCGAGAGAGAGCUUGCUUUCUCGAGCGAGUGGCGAACGGGUGAGUAACGCGUGAGGAACCUGCCUCAAAGAGGGGGACAACAGUUGGAAACGACUGCUAAUACCGCAUAAGCCCACGACCCGGCAUCGGGUAGAGGGAAAAGGAGCAAUCCGCUUUGAGAUGGCCUCGCGUCCGAUUAGCUAGUUGGUGAGGUAACGGCCCACCAAGGCGACGAUCGGUAGCCGGACUGAGAGGUUGAACGGCCACAUUGGGACUGAGACACGGCCCAGACUCCUACGGGAGGCAGCAGUGGGGAAUAUUGCACAAUGGGGGAAACCCUGAUGCAGCGACGCCGCGUGGAGGAAGAAGGUCUUCGGAUUGUAAACUCCUGUUGUUGAGGAAGAUAAUGACGGUACUCAACAAGGAAGUGACGGCUAACUACGU